rnacentral:snRNA from 1 species
GUACUCGCUUUGGCAGCAUGUAUACUGAAAUUGGAAUGAUAGAAGAUUAGCAUGGCCCUUGUGCAAGGAUGACAUGCAAAUUUGUGCAGCAUUCCAUAUUUUG